UCUCUUUUUCUCUCUCCCUCCAGACAGCUACUGUAUUAGCUAAGCAGUUAGUUAAACUAAGACAACAGAAAACUAAAUCUUAUGGACUGAGUGCUACCAUUACAGCAACAGGACACCAAAUGAAAGCAAUGCAGUCCCAGGUUGCUAUGACAAAGGACAUUAAAGGCAAUGGCAUCAAUGAACAAACAAGUGAAACUUGAAGACAUUCAACGGACAAUGCAACAAUUUCAAAAAGAAUCAACUAAAAUGGAAUGACGGAGAAUUGAUGAUGAUACUAGGCCAUGUGAAUCAUUGCAUUUGGCUGGUGCUAAGGUUGCAGGUGGUAAGAAGAUAAUUAAAGAAUUAACCAGUACUGAGCAAGACUAGCUAGCUAAUAAUUUGCAUGCUUUCACGUGAUGAUUUUUCAUAAUAAAUAUCCCAUCAACUCUUUGUCCAGGCCCCCAAA